rnacentral:rRNA from 3 species
GUGGUAAUGCCGGAUGCUCCGACUCCUCGCAUGGGGUGUCGGGAAAGAUUUCAUCGGUAUGGGAUGGGGUCGCGUCCUAUCAGGUAGUCGGCGGGGUAACGGCCCACCGAGCCUACGACGGGUAGCCGGCCUGAGAGGGCGACCGGCCACAUUGGGACUGAGAUACGGCCCAGACUCCUACGGGAGGCAGCAGUGGGGAAUAUUGCACAAUGGGCGCAAGCCUGAUGCAGCGACGCCGCGUGCGGGAUGACGGCCUUCGGGUUGUAAACCGCUUUUGAUCGGGAGCAAGCCUUCGGGUGAGUGUACCUUUCGAAUAAGCACCGGCUAACUACGUGCCAGCAGCCGCGGUAAUACGUAGGGUGCAAGCGUUAUCCGGAAUUAUUGGGCGUAAAGGGCUCGUAGGCGGUUCGUCGCGUCCGGUGUGAAAGUCCAUCGCUUAACGGUGGAUCUGCGCCGGGUACGGGCGGGCUGGAGUGCGGUAGGGGAGACUGGAAUUCCCGGUGUAACGGUGGAAUGUGUAGAUAU